AUACUUACCUGGCAGGGGAGAUACCAUGAUCACGAAGGUGGUUUUCCCAGUGCGAGGCUUACCCACUGCACUCCGGAUGUGCUGACCCCUGCGAGUUCCCCAAAUGCGGGAAACUCUUUGGGGUAGUGGGGGACUGCGUUUCUGCUUUCCCCUA
rnacentral:snRNA from 1 species